CCUACGGGUGGCAGCAGUGAGGAAUAUUGGUCAAUGGGCGGAAUCCUGAACCAGCCAUGCCGCGUGCAGGACGACGGCUCUACGAGUUGUAAACUGCUUUUGUCACGGGGCAAUAUGCUCUACGAGUAGGCUUUUCGAAAGUAGCUAAAAAUAAGGCACCGCCUAACCCGGUACAGCCGCCGCCGGAAAUACGGGGGAUCCGACCGUUAUCGGAUUCAUUUGGUUUAAAGGGUUCCGAGGUUGUUUUAUAAGUUCGCGGGGAAAUACCGAUGGUCAACAUCGGGGCUGCCGUUGAUACUGUAGGACUAUAGUGCGGAUGCAGCAGGCGGAAUGUGUGGUGUAGCGGUGAAAUGCAUAGAUAUUACGCAGAACACCGAUUGCGAAGGCAGCUUGCUAGGCCGGAACUGACGCUGAUGCACGAAAGCGUGGGGAUCGAACAGGAUUAGAUACCCUAGUAGUC
rnacentral:rRNA from 1 species